rnacentral:rRNA from 1 species
GACGAACGCUGGCGGCGUGCCUAAUACAUGCAAGUAGAACGCUGAAGGAGGAGCUUUCUUCUCCGGAUGAGUUGCGCACGGGUGAGUAACGCGUAGGUAACCUGCCUGGUAGCGGGGGAGAACUAUUGGAAACGAUAUCUAAUACCGCAUAACAGUAGAUAUCGCAUGAUAUCUACUUGAAAAAUGCAAUUUCAUCACUACCAGUUGGACCUGCGUUGUAUUAGCUAGUUGUUGAGGUAACGGCGCACCAAGGCGACGAUACAUAGCCGCCCUGAGAGGGUGAUCGGCCACACUGGGACUGAGACACGGCCCAGACUCCUUCGGGAGGCAGCAGUAGGGAAUCUUCGGCAAUGGACGGAAGUCUGACCGAGCAACGCCGCGUGAGUGAAGAAGGUUUUCGGAUCGUAAAGCUCUGUUGUAAGGGAAGAACGAGUGUGAGAGUGAGAAGUUCACACUGUGACGGUAUCUAACCAGAAAGGGACGGCUAACUACGUG